rnacentral:rRNA from 1 species
CGGACGGGUGAGUAAUGUCUGGGAAACUGCCUGAUGGAGGGGGAUAACUACUGGAAACGGUAGCUAAUACCGCAUAACGUCGCAAGACCGAAGAGGGGGACCUUAGGGCCUCUUGCCAUCGGAUGUGCCAGAUGGGAUUAGCUAGUAGGUGGGGUAACGGCUCACCUAGGCGACGAUCCCUAGCUGGUCUGAGAGGAUGACCAGCCACACUGGAACUGAGACACGGUCCAG